rnacentral:lncRNA from 1 species
AUGAGACCUCCCCCAGGCUGGAAGAAGACUGGAAAAAAGGCCUUCAGCGAGAAGCGAGCUGGCAGGAGGUACCCUGGAAGACUGAGGUUUUCUCACUCAGCACCUCAUACCCCGUGCCUAGCAGACUGUCAGACCCACAGGGGGGUCCAAGAUCAGUCUGCGAACACAAGUGAGUGUGCUCACUGCGUCCACGCACACACAUGUCCUCCCGGGAGCUGUUCUGUUCCGGCCCCUCCAGGAGAGUGAGUCACUGAGGUAAGUACCAGGUGACUCAGGACAGUGGCAGAUGUCUCUCUCCUCCUUUUCUGGCAGCGGGGGAAGCACCGCUCAGCCUCCACACUUACUCUGGCAGCCGGAAUUCAGAGAAAUGAGCAGCUGACAGCAGAAGCGAAGUGCCUGAGACUGGAAGUCCGUAAUCAGCCUUGGGACUUUUAAUGAGUGUUCUCCAGAGCAGAGUCGCUAACAAACCAUCCUGGACUCCCUUGAUCAGUUUAAUUGGAGGACAGACGGUCUUAAACAUUUUAAAAAGCUGACAGAAGGAUCUAAUUCCCAAGGCUUUCCCUCGAGCUAAACGUGUGCUGCCGAAGCUCACUUUCUUGGACACGUGCAAGGCUUGCAUUUUGACCUUUAGUGGAUUCUAGAUCACUCUGUUCCCGGCUCUGUUUCUGAGCGUGAUCUUAAUUUUGUCCUUUUUGAGCACCUACAGACUGAUACCCUGAUUCUUCAUUUAAUUCUGAUGUCUUGCUACUGGAAAUCUAUAUGAGAGGGGGAUUACUUAGGGGGCAUUUUGAUGCCUGUGUAUGGCACAGAUUUUGUUUAUCUGUUUUUUACAGCAUGUUGAGGGCUAACUGUCUUUUUACUCCUGGGCUAUUUAGGACUCACUAUAGAAUUUCCUAGUAAUUGAGAUACUCCUUUGUAUUAAGUGUGUUUUGUUUUUUUCUUAGCAAAUUAAAAUACUUGGAAAAUUGAAUUUUCGUAUUAAUAGUAUGUAUUAUAGAAGCUGAUAAAUGUGAGAUUAAUGGCCAAAAAGAGACAUUUCAGAUGGAUAAUUUAGAUUUUUAUCAUUUAUUAAUCAUGGAAAAUAAACCUGCUGUAUAAGUAAUUUUAGUUUUAUCAAGAAGAUAAAUUGUUCUGGCUAAUGAACGUAUAGAUAUUCUAUGCCAAAGGCAUUUGGAGUAAUCUGUUAAUCAUUUAACUGUGUCAGGGCAUAUGCUAUGUCUUCAUAAAGCAAUUAAAACACAUAACUUUCUCCACUGAAAUGCGUGUUGGCCUUCACUGCCUAAAGCAAAUUAAAAUGGCAUUUGUCUUAGACUAGGUUUUGGUGGCACAAUAUCUAGAGGCAAAAAACAUGAGAGGCUAUAGAUGUCAUGGCAAAGAAAGACUAGUUCAAUCUCUCAUUCUCAGGGUGAGGUUGCAAAUCACUCCCAGAGUGGAGCUGUGCUAAUGAGGAAGGACUUUCUGGCUCCCAAGUACCUAUCACAGUGGAUGGGUUCUUGGCGGAAAAUCCCAGGGGACCUUUCCCUCUCCCAGUGCCUGGGGAUUUACAUCUGUAGCUCCCAUUAGCACUAAUGGGUGCUCCCCGCAUACAAACAGUCCUCUCACUGAUGGAGGAACAGACCCCUGAAUAAUAUUCUUGCUCCAUUUGUCUGGUGUUCCGGACUCGGACAGAGGGCUACAUUAACAGGGCUUUGAUAGCGUUGUGGUGCCAUUAUGCUAAUAGAGAUUUGUGUCAGCUCCUUUUUAGAGGGUCAUAAUUCUACUUUUAAAACUCUCUUUCGACGGAAACAAAUUUUAAAAUAUUAAUAUUCUCUUUUUCCCCCUGUAGACUACCAAUCACCCCCUCCCACCACCACACACAAAAAUAAAUGGCUAUUUUACUCGCUCGGCAAGAGUUUGUGGAGGGCGAUUUUCACUGCACUUGUUCCCCAGGCAUCCUUCCAUCUGACUUGCCCGGAGCUCAGGGCUCAGCUUCAAUCAGCUUCCCUUGCGCGGCUCUGUCAGUAAUGGGUCUUAGAGAUCCCCCAUGAGGGAGGUGGGCGGUUCAGAGCUUUACCUAGCACCUGAGGAGACCCACAGCAAAGAGGGUAGUAGCUUGAGAUUUUCUGGAUCCCGAGGAUGAAGCCUGCUUGCACUGGAAAUCAGAUUUCUGACUCCCACGGUUGGUAGGAAUAUAGUAUCCCACAGGCAAGGUCCCCCCAGAGCUUGAGAGAAGGAACAGAGGGCACAUGUUUGUCUCUGGGUUUCCAUCCUGGGACUGCAGGCUCUGCACACAGUGGCUUCUCAGUGUGGGCUUGAUGGACCAACAGAGGUAGAAAUGGGCCUGUCAGCUUGACCUUGGCUUUUGUCCUUUUCUUUGACUGGCUUCACAACCUCCUUAGGUCUCAGCUUCCUCACCUGGAACCUCAGGCAAGCAAUUUGCUUGACCUCAUAGUGUCUUCCCGAGGAGCUGAGGAGUUAAAUCACAGGAAGUUUCUAGCUCUAGG